rnacentral:rRNA from 1 species
AUGGCGUCGUCGGGCGGGGACGAGUCGCCGUCGCCGGCCAAGCCGGUGCUCCUGCACGGGGACCUCGACCUCUGGGUCGUCGAGGCGCGGCUGCUGCCCAACAUGGACAUGUUCUCCGAGCACAUCCGCCGCUGCUUCGCCUCCUGCGGCACCGCCUCCUCCUGCGCGCCCAGGCAGCCCCCGCCCAACAGCCGCGGCGUCGGGGAGGCCGGCAGCCGCCGCCACCACCACCGCAGGAUCAUCACCAGCGACCCCUACGUCACGCUCUCCGUCGCCGGCGCCGUCGUCGCGCGCACCGCCGUCAUCCCCAACAGCCAGGAGCCGCGCUGGGACGAGCAGUUCUUCGUGCCGCUCGCGCACCGCGCCACCCUGCUCGACUUCCAGGUCAAGGACAACGACACCUUCGGCGCGCAGCUCAUCGGCACCGCCUCCGUCCCCGCCGAACGGGUCGUCGCCGCCGUCGACGAGGUCGAGGAGUGGGUCCCCAUCGUCGGCACCAGCGGCAAGACCUACAAGCCCCGCACCGCGCUCUUCAUCCGCUACCGCUUCCGCCCCUUCGCCGCCAACCCGGUGUACCGCCGCGGCAUCCCCGGGGACCCCGACCAGCAGGGCGUCAAGGACUCCUACUUCCCGCUCCGCCACGGCGGAAAAGUCACGCUCUACCAGGACGCGCACGUCAACGAGGGGGACCUGCCGGACGUCCAGCUCGAGCGGGGGAAGAAGUUCGAGCACAACCAGUGCUGGGAGGACAUCUGCCACGCCAUACUCGAGGCGCACCAUAUGAUCUACAUCGUCGGCUGGUCGAUCUACGACAAGGUCAAGCUGGUGCGCGAGCCGUCCUCGUCCAGGACGCUCCCGGAGGGCGGCGAGCUCACGCUCGGAGAGCUGCUCAAGUUCAAGUCGCAGGAGGGCGUGAGAGUGUGCCUGCUCGUCUGGGACGACAAGACGUCUCAUGACAAGCUCUUCAUCAAAACGGGUGGUGUGAUGGGAACGCAUGAUGAAGAAACUAGAAAGUUUUUCAAGCAUUCCUCAGUCAUCUGCGUUCUUUCACCUCGAUAUGCCAGCAGUAAGCUGAGCAUUUUCAAACAACAGGUUGUUGGGACAUUGUUUACACACCACCAAAAAUGUGUGCUGGUUGAUACACAAGCUUCGGGAAACAAGCGGAAAGUUACUGCUUUCAUUGGGGGCCUAGAUCUUUGUGAUGGGCGUUAUGAUACUCCUCAACAUAGGCUUUUUAAAGACCUUGACACAGUAUUUGAAAAUGAUUUCCAUAACCCAACAUUUUCGGCAGGCGCAAAAGGACCGAGACAACCAUGGCAUGACUUGCACUGUAAGCUUGAUGGACCAGCUGCCUAUGAUGUCUUGAAGAAUUUUGAACAACGCUGGAGAAAGGCAUCCAAAUUCCGUGAUCGAUUUAGGAAAGUAUCUCGCUGGAAAGAUGAUGCCCUGAUAAAGCUGGAGCGUAUCUCGUGGAUACUUAGUCCUUCACCUAAUGUUCCAAAUGAUCAUGUUAGUUUGCGGGUUUCAAAAGAAGAAGAUCCUGAAAAUUGGCAUGUUCAGGUAUUCCGGUCAAUUGACUCGGGCUCUCUAAAAGGAUUUCCUAGUGAUUGCAAAGAGGCUUCAAAGCAGAAUCUUGUGUGCCGAAAGAACCUCAUAAUUGAUAAGAGCAUUCACACAGCAUAUGUCCGGGCAAUCAGAUCAGCGCAACAUUUCAUUUAUAUAGAAAAUCAGUAUUUUCUUGGUUCUUCGUACGAGUGGCCAUCCUAUGUGAAUUCAGGUGCUGACAAUCUGAUACCAAUGGAAUUGGCCCUCAAAAUUGCAACCAAGAUUAGAGCUGGCGAACGGUUUGCAGUUUAUAUAGUCAUACCAAUGUGGCCUGAAGGAGUCCCUACCUCGGCCUCUGUGCAAGAAAUUCUUUUCUUUCAGGCUCAGACAAUGGAGAUGAUGUAUGGAGUAAUCGCACGAGAGCUCAAGGCCAUGAAUAUUGAGGAUGCACACCUUCACGAUUACUUGAACUUUUACUGUCUAGGCAAUCGGGAAGAACCGUCAACAGAUGGUAGCCCUGGGUCAGAUAAAUCUACAGAUAAAAGUGCAGCGGGCCUGGCUAGAAAACAUCGGCGGUUCAUGAUCUAUGUUCAUGCAAAAGGGAUGAUUGUAGACGAUGAAUACGUCAUUUUGGGCUCGGCAAACAUCAAUCAGAGAUCCUUGGCUGGCUCGAGAGAUACCGAAAUCGCAAUGGGUGCCUACCAGCCUCAUCAUGCAUGGUCUUCGAAGAAGGGUCAUCCUCACGGCCAGGUAUAUGGGUAUAGGAGCUCCCUCUGGGCUGAACACCUUGGUAUGGUUGAUGACCACUUCAAGGAACCUUCUAGCCUGGACUGUGUAAGAUUAGUGAACCAAAUAGCCGAAGAAAACUGGGAAAGAUUCGCGUCAGAAGAGAUGCAAACGUUGCAAGGGCACCUCCUCAGAUACCCGGUGAAGGUAGAGCCCGAUGGUAAGAUCGUCCCGCUGCCCGACCAAGAAUGCUUCCCCGACGUUGGCGGCAAGAUCUGCGGCGCUCCGACCUCGCUUCCUGAUUCGCUGACGAUGUAG